CACGUAGGCGGAUUGGAAAGCUGGGGUGAAAUCCCGGGGCUCAACCCCGGAACUGCCUUCAAAACUCCCAGUCUUGAGUUCGAGAGAGGUGAGUGGAAUUCCGAGUGUAGAGGUGAAAUUCGUAGAUAUUCGGAGGAACACCAGUGGCGAAGGCGGCUCACUGGCUCGAUACUGACGCUGAGGUGCGAAAGCGUGGGGAGGCAAAACA
rnacentral:rRNA from 1 species